rnacentral:rRNA from 1 species
UACGUAGGGAGCGAGCGUUGUCCGGAAUCAUUGGGCGUAAAGCGCGCGUAGGCGGCCCGAUAAGUCCGUUGUGAAAGUCAAAGGCUCAACCUUUGAAUGCCGAUGGAUACUGUCGGGCUAGAGUCCGGAAGAGGCGAGUGGAAUUCCUGGUGUAGCGGUGGAAUGCGCAGAUAUCAGGAGGAACACCAAUAGCGAAGGCAGCUCGCUGGGACGGUACUGACGCUGAGGCGCGAAAGCGUGGGGAGCGAACAGG